GCAGUGGUGGUUCGGUGGUAGAAUUUUUGCCUUCUGUGCAUAAGACCCGGGUUUGAGUCUCUGUCAACGCA
rnacentral:tRNA from 1 species